rnacentral:lncRNA from 1 species
UUUUGGGGUUGAGUUAGGCCCAAGGUCCAUUCUUAUCAAAAAUUAAAAUUAAUUAAAUUUUUUCUUUUUUACUUUGAAUAAUCGAUUAUAUACAUUCACAUUUAGUAAGAAUAUGAAUAAUUUAUUUAUAUAUAUAUAAAGUUGGGCAAUUAAAAAGCUGGUGUGGCAUUUCUCUUCGGCCACCAUUCUUUUUUAUCUUUUUUCUCAAAUUUUCACAACUUUUUCCUCUGUUUUCCCUUCUUCUAUUAAUUUUCGCUUCUGAUGUCAAAUCCUUUACAUAAAGUUUCAGUUUUGAAAUUAAUUGUUCUUUCAGUACAGCUUUAUGCAAUCAUGGAUUUUUCCCAAAAAAACUCAGUUACGCUUUUAUAUAUGCACCACUUAUUACAUUAUUUAAUAAAAUCUUCAUCACUAUAUUUUUAAACCACUAUAUAAACAAACACAGUAUAUCCAAAUACCAUGCAUGAUGGUUUAGCAUAAAUAGGUUUAUUGCUCUGAUGAAGGAGGUCAUGGGACAAGCCAAUAACAAUUCAAGAUCAUUUUCUAAUAUCAUUUUCUUCCUUUCGCUAGGAGUUUAAAGUUUGAUGGAUAUCAUAGGGGAUGAAGCAAGCGACGAAGAAAGGAAGCGGGCGAUCAGAAGCAUUGUGUUCUUCACUGAAGCAACAACCAUUUUGAUAUAUUUUUUACAUAGACUUGUGUGAAUGUAGCAAUUUUGUUUCUACAUGAAAGUUUCACUUCCCUCUCAUGUUUUCCCAUUGAAGCACUUUGAUUGUUGACAUACUAAAAAUGAACACUUCGAAUUGA